AUGAAGCAGCCGGCGGCGAGCCCGGGGCGUGCGGAGAAGCCCCAGCAGCAGCAGCUGCCGGCGCCGCCGGGGCUGGCGCGGCUGCUGCUAAGCAAGAGCCGGCGCGGGGCGCGGUCGCGCCGCGCGCCGGCCACGUCGCCCAUGUUCGUGUCCCGGGGCCGGAGCCGCGCGGCGGCGGCGGCGGUGGGGGCGGACGGGGAGCCGUCGUCGCCCAAGGUCACCUGCAUUGGACAGGUGCGGAUGCGCAAGGGGAAGAAGGGCAGCAACAAGGGGCCGGCGGCGCCGCCCCCGCCACCGGCCAAGGAGGAGAAGGCCAGGGGCUACUGCCGGUGCCUCAAGAAGGCGUUCCUCUGCGGCGGGCUGUUCGACUUCGACCGCAAGCACAAGCGCAAGGGGCCUCCGCCGGAGGCGGAGCGGACUCGCCGGUCGCCCUGGGUGUUCAGCAGCAGGGACGUGGCCGUCGCCGCCGCGCCCAAGCCGCCGGAUCCGACGAGCGACCGCGCCGAGGAGGAGGGGGAGGACGACAAGUCCGUGGGGGCCUUCGGCUCGACGGAGAGAGACGAGAAGGCGAGUGACCCGGGGACCGACAGCGGUGGCAAGGAGGAGGAAGAGUGCGAGGAGGGGGAGACGGCGGAGCUCGUGUCGUCCGCGACGACCACGCCGCCCAAGAACGCUCUGCUCCUGAUGCGCUGCCGCUCCGCGCCGCAGAACCGCUCGUCCCCGCUCACCUCCAGGUUCGCCGCCGGCGCCGCGCCGUCGCCGGUCCAGGAAGCGGCCGAUUUCGCGGUGGAGUCGAUCGCCGCGACGCCACCUCGGGCGUCGCCCUCUCCGCGCAAGCCGGACAUGGUGUCACCUUGGGCGUCCCCCUCCCCGCGCAAGCCGGACAUGCUGUCACCUUGGGCGUCUCCCUCCCGGCGCAAGCCGGACAUGUUGCAGUCACCACGGGCGUCGCCAUCUCCCCGCAAGCCGGACAUGGUGUCCGCGGAAAGCAACGACGAGAAGCGGCAAGAAAUGGCAGUAUCCACGCAGGAAGACGAGGAAAAGAUGGUGGAACAAGAGCACGAAGCCGACGACGACGACGAGGAGGAUGACGAAGCGGAAGAGAUGAGGUGCUCGUCGGCGCGGCCGCUGGUGCUGCAGAGGUGCAAGUCGGAGCCGGCGACGACCGCGGCGGCGAAGAUGGCCGCCGGGGCCGGGGCCGAGGGGGCGCCGUCCGGCUGCUUCUGGGCCAACGGCGGGAGCAGCGGCCGGCGGAGGCACGCGCCGCAGAUGUCGCCGGCGGCCGCCGCUCCGGUGGCUUUGACCGGUCACUGA
rnacentral:rRNA from 1 species